GGAGAGGUGCCGGAGUGGACGAACGGGGUGGUCUCGAAAACCACUGUACUGCAAAGUACCCAGGGUUCGAAUCCCUGCCUCUCCGCCA
rnacentral:tRNA from 1 species